rnacentral:rRNA from 1 species
CACGUAGGGGACGAGCGUUGUCCGGAUUCAUUGGGCGUAAAGCGCGCGUAGGCGGCCCGGAAAGUGGGGUGUGAAAACCCGAGGCUCAACCUCGGGCGUGCACUCCAAACUCCCGGGCUCGAGGCAGGUAGGGGAGAUCGGAAUUCCUGGUGUAGCGGUGAAAUGCGCAGAUAUCAGGAAGAACACCCGUGGCGAAAGCGGCUCUCUGGAACGGUACUGACGCUGAGACGCGAAAGCGUGGGGAGCGAACAGG